AUGAGCAGAGGGACGGAGCAGCUCUGCUGCCAGGAAAGGCUGCCACAGCUGCCAUUGCUCAGCCCGGACAGGAGAAGCUUUGGCCUCAGCUCCCUGUGGCCUCGCAGGGCCCGAAGGAGCCGCAGCAAAGGUGGAGAGAGACAAUUGCCAAGGGCUGCAGGGCCAGGAGCCAGGGAAUGGCUGCCAGUGGCAGAGGGCAGGGCUGGAUGGGAUCUUGGGCAGGGAUUGUUCCCUGGCAGGGUGGGCAGGCCCUGGCACAGGGUGCCCAGAGCAGCUGGGGCUGCCCCUGGAUCCCUGGCAGUGCCCAAGGCCAGGCUGGACAUUGGGGCUGGCAGCUCCUGGGACACUGGGAGAUGGCCCUGCCAUGGCUGGGGUGGGAAUGGGGGGGAAUUGGGGUCCCUUCCAAUUAAUCAAAUCCAUGAUUUCUUACAGUCACGGAGAAAGCCAGCAGCGCUGAACCACGGGCCACAUUCGUGCUGCUCCUCUCACCUCCUCUCACCUCAGAAAUUACAGGAAGUGGUUUUCCAUUGCAAUUGGCAGAAAAUAUCAGAGAAAAAAGGAAACAUGACACUACUUCUAAAGGUUUGCAGGCCACAGAAACCAAGAUUUGAUGCACUCCUCCUCCUGGUGCACAAUCCAGACUGUCACGUUUCAGAGGUCGAAAUGAGCCUGUGGAAAAACACGAAAUUUGGGCACAGAUUUAGGCAUCACUCUCAUGGUGUUCAGUUUCCUUUCACGUGUUGCCUGUCAUUGCCUUCUGAAAACAGCUUUAUUUUGAAGCACAGUGGGCAUAAUGGAAGUAGAAAAACUCUCCUGGGAGCUCUGGAAGACUCAUGA
rnacentral:lncRNA from 1 species